AGAUUGAACGCUGGCGGCAUGCCUUACACAUGCAAGUCGAACGGUAACAGGCCGCAAGGUGCUGACGAGUGGCGAACGGGUGAGUAAUACAUCGGGAACGUGCCCGAUCGUGGGGGAUAACGGAGCGAAAGCUUUGCUAAUACCGCAUACGAUCUACGGAUGAAAGCAGGGGACCGCAAGGCCUUGCGCGGACGGAGCGGCCGAUGGCAGAUUAGGUAGUUGGUGGGAUAAAAGCUUACCAAGCCGACGAUCUGUAGCUGGUCUGAGAGGACGACCAGCCACACUGGGACUGAGACACGGCCCAGACUCCUACGGGAGGCAGCAGUGGGGAAUUUUGGACAAUGGGCGCAAGCCUGAUCCAGCAAUGCCGCGUGCAGGAUGAAGGCCUUCGGGUUGUAAACUGCUUUUGUACGGAACGAAACGGUGAGCUCUAAUACAGUUUGCUAAUGACGGUACCGUAAGAAUAAGCACCGGCUAACUACGUG
rnacentral:rRNA from 1 species